rnacentral:tRNA from 1 species
GGCGACGUAGCCAAGUGGCUAAGGCAGCGGUUUGCAAAACCGUUAUUCGUGGGUUCGAUCCCCACCGUCGCCUCCA